UGUAAAAAAGCAAGAGUCGGUGAGAAAACCGUCGGCUGCCGCGAGAUCGUGGGUGGGGGGCGAAAGAGCAGACUUUCCUUUAACGACGGUCGGCGAAAGAGGGUGGACGAUGGACGAACAUGAGAUCUGUUCUUCGGCUUCGAGAGACACGAGUUCUAUGAAGAUCUUGCAUCAGGCUAUCUCCGACGGUACCACCAUCAAAACAGUUGAGUCCACCUUAUAAACCACCAUCAAAACACGAGUUCUAUGAAGAACACAUCUCGUAUUCGUACAUCGUCCACCCGGAGUUCUUCUGCCGGUAGUCGUUGAAGGAAAGGCUGCUCUUUCACCUCACCACUAUCUCGAGGCUGCUCUUUCACCUCACCACUAUCUCGCGCCUUUGUUGACUAGUUCUUGCUUUUUGUCCAGAGUCUUAAGAACCGGUGCUGGCCUUUCGAUCCACGCGCGAGCCGUUGCUGUUCUGUUCUUGAGCUUUCGCUCCGCAAAGAAGUAUCCCUCCUGCCGAUCGCUGCCAAGAAGAUUCUACCGCUCGCUCGGUCCUGUAGACGUCAGCGAAGGCGACAACGUGGACAGGGAAGGGUGUGCCGAUGACCUAGUUGGCGAGGUAGUCGACCACAGUUCCUCCGCCGUUGUAGCCUCUCGGAACGAGGCCGACGGACUCCAUGGGCGACGGUUGUUUCUUGAAGAGGAGAGAAGACAAAGUGCCUUCAUCUUCUUUGAAUCCCAUCGCCCCGUUCGGUCUUGCUCGACUCGGAAACAAAGGUUCGAGGAUCUUGAAGAUGGAGGUAUCUGCCCUGGUGUUGGCUUGUGGCGUGAGGGUGGGAACUGAUGGAAGGUACAAUAUUUGGUGUUGUAUUGGCAAUCCGUUGGCAUUGCAUUAGGCGGCAUGCUUCCGAGGCCAAGUGCUUCACAGUGCCGUCUUCACCAGAGGGUUGGAACUGAUGGAACCAAUAAUAGGUCCCUGUAUGCCAUCAAGGUCGGACCUUUCCACGACCCCAAGUGAUUUCUUUUCGAUUCUUACCACACCAUCGUUUUGAGAAUAGUGCUGCAACACCCAUAUAGCCGAAUACUUACAAGCAGACAGCUAGAGUGGCCCUCUGUGCAUCUUCACUGUAGUGCCAGAUUUAUUUUGCUGGAGCAUUGCUGGGUACUAGCUUAUUAAGUAAAUGUUUUAUUUCUUUAGAUUAUUAGUUAUCGAAUUCAUCAUGGCAAUCAGAGUUCUGCAUUCACUAUCUCCCUCACCCCACAACAUGGAACUUGUGGUUCGUUUUAACAUUUCAUUCAGUGAUGUACUUCCAUGUGAUGACAUGAAUUUAUGCAUCUUCUUUCAGGUUGAGAGAUCAUUUGACUUAUCCAGGGUUCGUAAAUGUUUUUUUUUUUCUUGACUUGAUUAAAAACAUGUAUGUUUAUUCUUGUGUGGGUUAUGGAUGUAUUUUACAGAUUUUCUGGUGAACUAUACCUAAAAUUUGUAUGUGUCUUUGAGAUGUCACUUAUAUGAAUUCAUGCCUUCUUGUUAAUUAUUGAGGAUCAAAAUUUUCAA